AAACCGCAGUACUCUAGGGCAU
rnacentral:misc_RNA from 1 species